UGGCAGAAAGAGAGAAAGGAUCCACCACUGUGUUCUACUCUACUACUAGUCUCUUGCUAGCUACACAUACACAACACUGCUAUAUAGCAGCUCUCUACAUAUCAUAAUAUAAUAUCUGACCUAUACUACUACCCUAUUCCUAUAACACAGCUCUUGAUCAAUCAUCAUGCGUCUGCUAUUCCCUUUAUAGCUUUCUUAGCUGUUCUUAAAUUUUGAAUUCAAUUUCUUCCUUUUCUUCCUAACUGUGCAUGUAUAUUUCUUUCCUUUUAAAUUCACUGUUUCACAAGAUGGGUGUUGUCUUUAUGAUUCCUUCUUAACUAUUGUAUCUACCCUCUCUUGUACUAUCCUUUCUUUCUUCCCUAUAUAUAUUCUCCUUAUCUAGAUUCCUUCUUGCACUUGUGUUUGUUUCUAGUAAUACCCUAGUUUUCUACUUUGGCUUUUUCUUUCCUUUGGAUACUUCAAUUUCCUUGUUCUUUCUUAGCUUACAAAUAGUUUUUAAAUUAUGCACCUUCUUUAGUAUAUUUUUCUCCUUCAAGUUAGGGUUUUGAUACUUGCAUCUAUUUGAACUCUUUCAUUUUUUGUGCUUUUCUAUGUGUCUUUGGUUGUUCUUGCUGUAAAAUAUUGAUAUAACCCUAGAGAGUAGUGAAGAAUGAUUCAAGAAAGUUCACAAAGGAAAAAGUGAAGCUGCCAGCAUGAUCUAAGCUUUGGUUAGAGAGCUUUCCUUUGGAUGGAUAGAGAUAACCCUAACCGUGACUAGGUCAUGCUGUGACAGCCUCACUCUUUCCUAUUUUGUGGACCACAUUUUCCAAUCAAAAAUCCUAACGAUCUCUUCCAACAACUGAAAGACACAACAAACUUUAAACAUAAAAGUGUGUUUCCUAAAAGCAGGUUUUGAAGAUUAUUGGAUGCUUGCGGUUCUAAACUUUGGUUUUUAGCUUCAAGUAAUGGUAUAUGGGAGGAAAAAAAUAAAGCUAGGGCUUUGAUCUACAAUAUGAAACCUUGUUUUUCACCAUUUUCUUGUAUGGUGUUUAAAGCUUAAUUUUCCUUUAUAAGCAAAGAGAACAUGAAUUAACUAUACCGUGUUCAUGCAAAUGUUGGUGAGUUUUGUUGGUGUUUUCUGUAGCUUUUUCUGGUGAAGUGAUAGUUCAAAAUGUA